UACGUAGGGUGCAAGCGUUAAUCGGAAUUACUGGGCGUAAAGCGUGCGCAGGCGGUUGUGCAAGACAGAUGUGAAAUCCCCGGGCUUAACCUGGGAAUUGCAUUUGUGACUGCACGGCUAGAGUGUGUCAGAGGGGGGUAGAAUUCCACGUGUAGCAGUGAAAUGCGUAGAUAUGUGGAGGAAUACCGAUGGCGAAGGCAGCCCCCUAGGAUAACACUGACGCUCAUGCACGAAAGCGUGGGGAGCAAACAGG
rnacentral:rRNA from 1 species